rnacentral:rRNA from 1 species
GGCCCGCACAAGCGGUGGAGCAUGUGGUUUAAUUCGAUGCAACGCGAAGAACCUUACCUACCCUUGACAUCCAGAGAACUUGGCAGAGAUGCCUUGGUGCCUUCGGGAACUUUGAGACAGGUGCUGCAUGGCUGUCGUCAGCUCGUGUUGUGAAAUGUUGGGUUAAGUCCCGUAACGAGCGCAACCCUUGUCCUUAUUUGCCAGCACGUAAUGGUGGGAACUCUAAGGAGACUGCCGGUGACAAACCGGAGGAAGGUGGGGACGACGUCAAGUCAUCAUGGCCCUUACGGGUAGGGCUACACACGUGCUACAAUGGCCGGUACAAAGGGUUGCGAGACCGCGAGGUGGAGCGAAUCCCAGAAAGCCGGCCUCAGUCCGGAUCGGAGUCUGCAACUCGACUCCGUGAAGUCGGAAUCGCUAGUAAUCGUGAAUCAGAAUGUCACGGUGAAUACGUUCCC